ACUGUGGUAGUCUAACUAGACAUCUGAUUUCGACCCAGAAGAACUUAUACCCUAAGCCCCAGUA
rnacentral:tRNA from 1 species